AGAUGCAAAAAAAAAAAAAAAAGGAUGACUAGGAAUUAUUUGGAAGAAUGUCUUGACAAGGACAACAAUUCUACAUAGCUACAGUUACUGAAAGAUGGCUAGAAUUUAUUUGUAAAAUAUGUCUGACAAAGCGAAAAAAGUCUUGGCAGUUCAUUGAGCAACUAAUGAUGAGCCCGAUGAAUAUUCAAUUAUAAUCAAGAUUGAAUCUCGAGUAAUUAUUGGCCACAUACAAAUGUGCUGAUAAUUCAUUAAACUGGUAUAAUUCAAACUAAGCCAAAGACGUGUUAAAUACUGAAUGAUAUUGUACCAAGUGAAUUUUUAUGCUGACAGAUAGACAUAAUAACAUGAUUUUAUUGUAUGAUAAAUUGACUGCUCAAUCAAGAUGAGAUCAGCAAUGAAAAUGAUGGUGAUGAUGAAAGUGGAAUUUGGCCUGUUUACUAAUUGUAAUGAUAUAAAGAAAAUAACCAUUGAUAGCCAUCGGUAUACAUCUGCAUGCUGCCUUCUACAACUUCGACAUAUGAUAGGCGUUGGUGUAUUUGAAUGCUGCUUCAUAAAUUUUCUACAUG
rnacentral:lncRNA from 1 species